rnacentral:lncRNA from 1 species
CCAAAAUGAAUAAAUAAAUAAAUAAUUGAAUGAAAAAAUAAAUAAAUAAAGGCAACAAUGAAUAAGCAAAUAAAAAAAUGAGACUUUCAAGUCUUCUUUGCUGCUUCAAAGAUGGGACUUUAACCCAUUUUUUUCUUUUUUCGACUCCUUGUAUCCAUGCGCUAUUUAACCAGCUUUGGGCUUUCUUUCGGCUUGACUCGAAAAGAAGAGCCAUGUUGACCCAUUAUAAGAUGCAAGGGGAAAAAGUCCGUUUGAAAUCCAAGGUGGGAUCAUGCAAAGAAAAGAUAAAGAGAAUUAACACUGACUCUAAAUUUAUAGCCAACACAUAGUGUUUAAAAUAAUUCACAAAUUUGGAGAGAAAUAUAGACCAAACCAAGAAUCUUAAAUUAAUAAGAGAUGACUUAAUAUCGGUCUAGAACUAACAAUCCUAACUCACUGUUAAACACUUGAACAAUUAACAAAAAAACAUACAUGAUCCAAAAUUUGCUCAAAUUCAAUUCGUUCUUUCACGAUAAGCAAACCGACAUUCAGUAGUUAUUCACUAAGGUUCAAAAGCAUUUCAUAAGGCAGGACAUCACUUUAACUUUAAUUCUGACCCAAAAAAAUUAGCACAACACUUAAAAGAAACAAGUUACUUCAAACCAUCGCAAAGCCUUUCACUUGCAAUAUUGGCACAUUGUACAUUUCUUUAAUUUAAGAACAUAUGAUUCAAAAGUUCAUUUUUUUUUCUUAAAGUCUAUUAUCAAUGCAAUCAAUGAACAAAUUAAAAUAGAGAAAGUACUAAAGUUAUCCUCUUAUAUAAAACAAUUAAAAAUAGAAACUUUGAAGCCAUAAGAGAUAUAAAACAACAUUCUUCUACUUCUUUUUCCUAUGACUUUUAGAUUACAUUAAACACAUUCAUGCUAGUGCAUCAAGACUAAUAUUACGAUGCCAAGGAAACACUAACUCAUCAGCUAAAUAUUAGCAAGAAAAAACGGACCACAAUUUUCAAGAGAUUGCAAUGACUUUGAAAGCAAAACUAGAACUCAAAUUGCGAUACCAACACAUUGAGCUUACAGCUGAAUUGAAGAACAACAGAUAGAAAGAAUACUAUGUUUUGAAUAUUUUAGACAAAGUCAGUAUACGAACAGUAGUUUAAACUUCGCGACGAAAGUUAUGGAAUCAUACGGAAAAGAACAGCAUAUUCACAAUAUAUACUAACAAGAAAUUUAACAGCUGACCAGUAAGAUUAACACGAGAUUAUAAUUCCAAAAAUAACAAAAUCAAAAAUAUACGGAAUCGACAAUGGGGCGAACAUUGUAGUAUGAACACUAAACCAGCAAAAAUGACAUAACAAUAGUCAUCACACAUAAAUCCUAUGGCCAUUAACAGCAUCUACAGCAAGCAAUUCCCAACAUUCAAGGCUAAUAAACACUACAAUCACUAUAGAACGAUGAGAUAAAGAAGAAAUAACACUAAAAUUAAAUGGAAAAGAAGAUUACCAGUUUCGAAGCAGCAAAACAGGACUCGGGCCUUCUCUGAAAUCUUGAGCACCACUGGAAAGCUUUACCGUGACUUCGAGAACUUCGAACGAUCGAUGAUUUUUUAUAUGAAAUAAAAUUUUACUAAAAAAUAAAAACUUUUGCUCAAAGGUUUCUUUCACCCUCCCCCCUUCAAGACUUGUCCAAUUUGCUCUACAAUCUGGUUUGUAUAAAAAGAAUUGAGGGGCUUAAUUUUGAGCUCCCACCGAUGUGGGAUUAGAAAAAUCAAAGGGUAAUUUGACAUUUUUGGAAGGGGAAUUCAAAAUUCAACUUGAGAAUAAGGUGAUGAGCUGUAAAAUCAUACGAACUCGUACAAUUUUGAAGUGUUUUGGUGAUGAGUUGUGCUUUACAUGUGGAUUGAUGGGUUACAGGUUUGGUUUGAUAGAACGGUUAAGUUUGGGUCAGCUGGUUUGGAGUGUUGCAGGGUCGCCAGGUUGGGUCGUUGCUGGGUGACCGUUGAUAGCGGGUCGGUGGGUCAGGUUGCGCUGUUGUUCGAAUGUUGUUGUUGAUGAUAUUGUUGUAUGUGUGUGUGUUAUCGUUUGUUGGUAUUAUGAAGAAGACAAGUUAUUGGGUCGGGUUUGGGCUGUUAGAGUGGGCCGAUGAAUGGGUAAAAAGGAAUGUGACGGAUUUGGGCUGCUGGGGCUAUAUUGCUUUGCUGAAAUUGUUUUGUUGUUGGGCUU